GCAGGGGUCCCCAAACUUUUUUAACAGGGGGCCAGUUCACGGUCCCUCAGACCAUUGGAGGGCCGGAUUAUAGUUUUUUUUAAAAAAAGCUAUGAACAAAUUCCUAUGCGUACUGCACAUAUCUUAUUUUGAAGUAAAAACAAAAACAAAAAAGGAACAAAUACAGUCUCAAUGUUAAUAAUAAUAAUAAUCAUCAUCAUCAUCAUCAAAAUAAUAAAGAGGGUUGGAAGAGACCCCUUGGGACAUCUACUCCCUCCCCCUUUUGCUUUUGUGCAUCACAUCAUAAUCAAAGCACCCCUGACAGAUAGCCACCCAAUAACAACAACAACAACAACAACACCAUAAUAAACAUGGUUGGAAGAGACCCCUUGGGCCAUAGAGUCCAACCCCUUUCUCCCUUUGUGAACCAAAACAUAAAGCACCCCUGACCAACAACAACAACAAUAAUAAUACACUAAAAAUCAGGGUUGGAAGAAAUUGCUAGCCUUCAAGAAAAAUGAAUCCACGACAGGGCUGCAAAGGAGGAAGUCUGUGUGGCAAGAUAAAACGGGAGCCCUCUACCUUUUACCACAGGCAUGCCUCUAUUGUUGUUUCGCCUCCUCCAUUGCAGGAAGGCGCAUACCAGGUGAGGGAGGAGGAGGAAAAGGAGUGUGCGAGGUGAGCGAGGAGGCAGGAAAGGCACGCAUCUUUCCCUCCUCUCUCGUUCUGUGCAGGCCUUCCUCAGCGGUAGCGAGGAGGAAAGGAGGAAAGGCCCACGCCUUUUCCUCGCCCCGUGAGGCCCUUCCUCGACAGCGGGAAAGUUGCGUGCCUGACGAGGAAAUGGCGUGCGCCUUUCUCACUUCUCUCACCUCACGCGCACCUUUCCCACUGCCUUCCUCGACGGCGGCAGCGGGAAAGCUGCCCGCGAGGUGAGGGAGGAAAGUCACAUGCCUUUUCCUCGCCUCGUGCAGCUCUUCCUCGGCGGCAGCAGCGGGAAAGCGCCCCACGCAGCGGGGGAGGAAUGCCUUUUCCUCCCCCCGUGCAGCCCUUCCUCGAUGGUGGGAAAGCUGCCCCUGGGGUGAGGGAGGAAAGCCGCACACCUUUUCCUCGCCCCGUGCGGCCCUUCCUCAGCAGCGGCAGUGGGAAAAGUGCCUGUGGGGCGAUGGAGAUAAGAAAGGCAUGUGCCUUUUCCUCCUCCACACUACAUGCACCUUUCUUGGCGGAGGAGGAAGGAGCCACCACCGCGGGGGCCGGAUAAAUGGCUCCGAUGGGCCGGAUGUGGCCCGCGGGCCGUACUUUGGGGACCCC
rnacentral:lncRNA from 11 species